rnacentral:rRNA from 1 species
AAAAAAAUCGUAACAAGGUCUCCGUUGGUGAACCAGCGGAGGGAUCAUUACCGAGUUUAC